AGUGAACGCUGGCGGUAGGCCUAACACAUGCAAGUCGAACGGCAGCACAGUAAGAGCUUGCUCUUACGGGUGGCGAGUGGCGGACGGGUGAGGAAUACAUCGGAAUCUACUUUUUCGUGGGGGAUAACGUAGGGAAACUUACGCUAAUACCGCAUACGACCUACGGGUUAAAGCAGGGGAUCUUCGGACCUUGCGCGUUUGAAUGAGCCGAUGUCGGAUUAGCUAGUUGGCGGGGUAAAGGCCCACCAAGGCGACGAUCCGUAGCUGGUCUGAGAGGAUGAUCAGCCACACUGGAACUGAGACACGGUCCAGACUCCUACGGGAGGCAGCAGUGGGGAAUAUUGGACAAAGGGCGCAAGCCUGAUCCAGCCAUACCGCGUGGGUGAAGAAGGCCUUCGGGUUGUAAAGCCCUUUUGUUGGGAAAGAAAAGCAGCAGGUUAAUACCCCGCUGUUCUGACGGUACCCAAAGAAUAAGCACCGGCUAACUUCGUG
rnacentral:rRNA from 1 species